AAUAGAUACCCAGGUAGUCCACGCCGUAGACGAUGAAUACUAGGUGUAGGGGUUGUCAUGACCUCUGUGCCGCCGCAAACGCAUUAAGUAUUCCGCCUGGGGAGUACGGUCGCAAGAUUAAAACUCAAAGGAAUUGACGGGGGGCCCGCACAAGCAGCGGAGCAUGUGGUUUAAUUCGAAGCAACGCGAAGAACCUUACCUAGACUUGACAUCUCCUGAAUUACUCUUAAUCGAGGAAGUCCCUUCGGGGACAGGAAGACAGGUGGUGCAUGGUUGUCGUCAGCUCGUGUCGUGAGAUGUUGGGUUAAGUCCCGCAACGAGCGCAACCCUUAUUGUUAGUUGCUACCAUUAAGUUGAGCACUCUAGCAAGACUGCCCGGGUUAACCGGGAGGAAGGUGGGGAUGACGUCAAAUCAUCAUGCCCCUUAUGUCUAGGGCUACACACGUGCUACAAUGGCAAGUACAAAAGAUGCAAUACCGCAAGGUGGAGCUAAACUUAAAAACUUGUCUCAGUUCGGAUUGUAGGCUGAAACUCGCCUAC
rnacentral:rRNA from 1 species